AUGCUGCGCUCGCUGCUCUCCGGCUGCCUCUGUCCCCACGCAGGUAAGAAGAGUCCACCUGCUGAGGACAAAGUAGUGCUAACACAUAUGAAGAUAUUGAGCAAUGAAGGAAUUCAGAACCCAGGGCUAGUACUAGAGGCUCCUGCUGAUGCAGGCUGUACUGAGGAGCCCCAUCUCCCCAGCACGAACUUCCCACAGGACUGCCAGGGAUGUCCAAAUGCCACAGCCAUAACAGCAGACACAGACUAUGCAGAAGCCCCAGCAGGCACAGAUUAUGUAGCCACACUGCCUGACCUCAGCAGCUUUGAGUCCAAGUGCCGCCUUCACAGAUUCUCCAAAUUUGAAUCUGAGGACUCGGGAGUUGAACUGCCAAGCGGGGCUAACUCUCCAUCAACGCCAACAGGUUCAGAGAAGAGCUUUGUGCUUCACAGCAGAGACUCAUUUUGUGACUCAGGUGUGCUUAGCACCUCAUCUUCUCCAGAAAUUGACCACCUGAUAAUGAGAGCAUGUAAAGAGCGUGCCAGGAAGGCUGGCCACCAAGGUGUGGAGAGUGAAAAGAAAGAUGAGCUCUAUAGCCAGGAGUCAGACGUUGUGCAGGUUCCCACACCUUCCCUUGAAGACUUCAGUGUUCCUCAGGAAGGAGAAAGUCCUCAUGAACAUUUUGACCAGAGUGAAAGGCAAUCCCUGGAAAAAGAACCAUCCCCAGAGACGAACCCCCCCACAGAGAGCACUCUUCCCAUCCCGGUUCCCAUAGAGGAGCCAAAAACAAUUGCUGACAAUUACACAGAGACUUUUGACAGUACACAAGACCUUCAGCUCCAUGGACAUCAGCUGAAGAAGUAUCCCACAAGUGACAGUCUGGAUGAAUACAUGAAUGAAUGCUGUAGACUGAGCGAGGUGAACCAAGGGAACAGCAAAGCCCUGGGAUCUGGCCUGGGAUACCUGGAACACAUUUGCCAACUGAUUGAGAAGAUCGGGCAGCUGCAGGAGCACAACCUGCGGCUCCAAAAGCAAGUCUGCAGCUUACAGAAAGAGCAGAAGAUGAGCCAGAUAAAAGAGGAGUACCUCAUGCAGCAUUGCUCCUGUGGAGCUGCCAGCGUGUUCCUCAACUCGUACCAAGACAUGAAGACAUUUUUGGCAGGAAGGAGCAGACCUCAUAGCCUCUUGGUUCAGACUGGAAACCCUUCUGAUCUUUCAAUCAUCCCAGAAAUAGGAGCAAACACCGACAAGCUCAGCAGCUACUACGGAAGUGAGAGAUACCCAGAAUCAGGAAACAGCCAUCCAACAGCAGGGCUCAGGAAGUUGUCGAACAAUAGGAACAAGGAAAAUGAGUUCAGAGAAGGUGGUGGCAUGGCUGAAAGACAGGCUUUUCCACCAAAGGAUCCUGCAGCCAGAAAGGGUUUGGACACCAGCAAGAACUGCUCAGGUGAGAGCCAUGCUUGGGGGAGAAUGAGAGAUCUUAUGAGAAAGACAAGGCUGAGAAACCAAAGCAAGCUGGGGCUGUCCUCUGCUGCACUGAAGAGGUCCUGCCCACAGUUGUACAGGCCAGAUAUUAUAUCUUCGGAGCUGAGGAAAGCUGAGAGAACUGAGAGGAACUCCAUGAUUGUUUUGGGGCAAAAUACAAAGAAUGAAAACAUAUGGCCUUUCUGAUAACCCAAAUUAAAGGGGACAAGGAAGGAGAAGUGGGAACAGUGACGGACACAAAAUGGACAGGGGUGCUUUGUGCAGCUUUGCGUACCCAGCAUCCUCCAGCUGUUGGCAAAGCAACUCCAAUUUGAAUGUUGGAAGGCAAAGAAGGAAAGGGGAGGUAGAUAAAGGUCUGUGGACAGAUGCAUGCUCAGCUACCUAUGGCUUCGCUCCUGAACCUGCCGCAUACUCACAAGCCACAGAAGAAACUUGAAGCCAGCAUCCUGGCACCAUAACCAGGAGAGGCUUUUAAAUGAGACUUGAUAAUUAAUUCUUCCUCCUAUCUGUGCUAGGAACAGUACUACCUGAAUCACCAAAGCUUUUAAAUUAUCACUGCUUCCUGGGAACCUCCUACAGCUGAAAUGAACUUCAGCCUGUUCUUUCCCAUUCCUCACUUUCUAUUGAAGACCAGAAGUGUUUAACCCUGUGACAGUGAGCCACCAAUCCCUCCCUCCCUCACAGUGGCCAGAGGAGCACCAUAUCUAUUACUGGGUGCAGAGAUGGCCAUUGGCUGCACUCCUUCCUCAGGCCAGGGGCUGCAGGCUGCUUGCCCUCAGCACACUCCUCCCUUCCCAGCAGCACCUUGCCAGCUAUGAAGUUUUAAUCAAAUGCAACAAGAACAAAAGUCUGUAAAGCCAAGCUUUCCCCCAGGGCCAUUCACAAGCCCACCACCACCUUCUGCAAACACUCCUUGAUUUUAGUGCCAUCAUAACACAGAAGUCAACAUGAUGAACGGCACUGCAAGAAUUGGCCAUUAUAGAGAUGGGAAGGCACAUCCGAAGGCACAUCCAUGGCAGCAUCUCAGUCAUCCAGCAGCCCAGCUCUCUGCCAAGCAGUGCUGUCCAUCUUCCGGAAGAGCAGAGCUGCAAGGAUGAGUUACUCACGCACACCCUCUAUGUUCUGCAUCUAGGACUGUUCUCUUAGACCUCCUAGGUUUUGAGGUUUUUUUUUAAAUGCUAUAGCCAUGCUUGGUAGGUGCCUUACUGCCAUGUUUCCACAGAGCUCAAAGAACUGACAGCAUCUGCUUCUGAAGGUGCUGCAGCUCCCACAGUGAUCUCUGUUCUUUUGCUGGUAGGAGCUGGUGCAUUUAUACCUAUGGAGUAAAAAUUCGAGCAAGCCAACUUUAUCUCAUGUUACAGGGGCAUGCUACUCCCCUGAAUUACAAUAUAAUUGUCAAUCAGGCACUUGCUAUUUAAAAUCCCUUCCGGUCUACCUUUGGGAAUUGAGAUUUCAGAAGAUGACAGUAACAUGCUAACUUCAGCAGGUUUAGCCUUUCAGCAGCAGGUGCUUCCCCUUCACUCACUCAGAGCAGCUGGAACCCUCCAAGGCAGAGCAAGAUCUCUUCUGAAAUUCUGAGCCCAGUUCUAGCAGCAACAGAAAGCAAAGAGUUGUUGCUCACUAGAACAACAGAUCAUGUUUACUCAGUGCAAGUAUAAUUUGCAGGUGAAGUUCAGUGUAGCUGCUGUUAUUUAGCAUCUAAAAAAAGUUUGUGCUGACUCACAGUUAGUACCUUGCUGUGUUUAAUAUUUCAGUUGUCACUAAUUACAGCUGCUGUUGUAAGAUGGUUAGUCACUGUGUAUCUUGCUAGCUUCAUCAAAGCUAGAGAUAUUUAUGACUUGAUUAUUCUGUAAAUAGUCUGUAUAUCUCCAUAAAUCCCAGGGGCUAAAAAUCCUGCCUCAACUUACACCCUCCACCUGUACAGACACAAUGAGGAAUAUGAAUCAGUGCAGAACUGGACUUGCAGGGUUUCAAGAGAGUCAUGAACUGGUGUUUUCCCAUCCCCUACUACUCUCCUCACAUUAUAGGUGUUAUGGUUUUUAAAAUUAAGAUGAACUAGCACUCUUUUUUAUUACUGCAUUAUAUGAAAUAUAUUCAUGUAUUUUCAAAACUAUAUUUAUAACCUGUAACAUACUGUAUAGUUUGCCACUUUAAGAUAUGCUUGUACUACAAUUUAAUAAGUUUAAUAAUAAAAUCACUUGUGAAAUAACUGGUUUCA
rnacentral:lncRNA from 1 species